CGGGGCUCAGUCUGCGCCCUGGGAGCUGACGGGGCUCAAGCCGGGCCAUAUCCUGCGGCAGGCGGUGGUGGGGUUGAGACGGGAUGGGGGACUGGAGCAUGCCCAUCAGCUCGCUGGGCGAGGAGGUGAUGGCCCGGCUCUGCCAGCUCCUGGAUAACGCUGGCCGGGGCUGGCGCAAGCUGGCCGAGGUGGCCGGGGCGGAGAAACGCUUCAAGUGCAGCGCAGAGGAGCUGGAGAUGUGCUCGCUGAAGGUGCUGGAGCCCCAUGGCAGCCCCACGGAGUGCCUCCUGCAGCUCCUGGCCGAGCGUGACUGCACCCUCAAAUACCUGCUGGGCUGCCUGGAGAGGAUGGGGCAUACACGGGCCUGCCAGGUUCUCAGCAGCGCUGUCCAGGACAUGAUCCGCAUCACAGUGCAGCCGGAGUCGCAGGUGGUGAUGGAGGGGAUGCGGGUGUUCCUGACCUGCUGGGCCACCGGUCCCCCGGGGCUCGCCUACCAGUGGUUCUGUGGGAAGCGGGAGGUGCCUGGAGCCACGGCCCCAGAGCUGGUGAUCAACGCGGCCACCCCGGGCCAGCCCGAGUGGUACAUCUGCCGGGUGAACUGUGGGGCCGCCUUCGCCUUCUCCAGGUGGGCCCACGUCCAGGUGGAGAGGAGCAGCAGCCCCAGCUCAGCCAGUGGCUACUGCCCAAGCAUGGCAGGGCUGCAGAUCCUGCAUCAGCCGCAGCCGUGCCGCCUGGCUGAGGGGGACACGCUGGUGCUGGAGUGCAGAGCCAUCGGCAACCCCCCGCCCCAGUACCAGUGGUUCAGGAACCAGCGCCCUGUGGAGGGUGCACAGGCGCCCCGGCUGCAGGUGAAGCUGGUGACGACAGCCGAGCGGGGCUGCUACUCCUGCCGCGUGUUCAACCUCUUCCACGAGGUGUGGAGCCGGGAAGUGGACGUGGAGAUCGGCCCACGGCUCUUUGCCUCCGGAGGCUCCUGGCAGGAGGGGGAUAGAGGCUCUCCAGAGCACGGCAGUCCCGGCCAGCUGUAUGCCACCGACAAAGUGGCCCUGCUGAUCGGCAACAUGCACUACCUGCACCACAAGCAGCUGAAGGCGCCCAUGGUGGACGUGCACGCCCUCAGUGCCCUCCUCCGCCAGCUCGACUUCAAGGUGGUCUCUCUGCUGGACCUGUGCAAGGCAGAGAUGCAGAUGGCUGUCAACGAGUUCCUCCU
rnacentral:lncRNA from 1 species